AUGUUCUUGCAUGUGCUAGUAUGUCCAAUAUGUUCAAUGUCGUAUACAUGCGACACGCCGAGUCAAUGCCGGCACCUGAGCGGCAAUUAUAGAGGACCGUGCUUUGGCCUUACCGAUGGUUGCGAUCGUACAUGCCUAAAUGAAAGCUCCGAUAACGUGUGGGGCUAUUGUGACUGCAACUUAAAAUGCUACUGCUAUACAUGCUAG
rnacentral:rRNA from 1 species